CACUGCAAGAGUUCCGGUCUGGCAGAGAGCGCGGAGAGACGCAGAGCGCGGGCCGCUCCUCCAGGGCGCUCCAGGCCCUCCGGCCCCGGGUCGGCGGGUGAGCUAGGGGGCGCCCCGGGACAGGCCGCGCCCUCUGCCCUGCAGAUACCGGAGGCCUCUGCUGUGGCUGCCCACUGGCUGGGCCCAGGCCUUGAAGCGGUGGCGAACGUCUCUUCCCUACCCUACCUCGGUGACUGAUGGCGGCGGCGGCCUCUCCCAGUCCGGACCCUGCCGGCCGUCGGGUCUCCCGGCCCAAGCCUGCCGGGCCUGGACGAAACCCCCGCCGAGCAGCCUGGACGCAGCGCCUUUGGGUGGCGGCGGGAGUAGCGUGCCGGGAAGCAUGGCGGCCGCUCGAACGCCGCGCGGCGGAGGGCGUUAGGGCAUGGAGGGCCCGGGAAGGCGGCCUAGGGACGCAGGCAGGCUCGGCCGCCUCUUCAGGCCACGGAGCCGCCAGAUCUGGGUCCCGGGUGACCACUCUGUCGCCAUUGGGCGAGACCUACCUAGUCCUAACGACAACGGACAAAGGCCUUAACGGGCCUGGGAGGUGAGCGAAGUCCCGAACGACGACGGGUGGAACGGUUAGCGGCGAUCGGGCGGUUGGUCUCCGUACUACCAGACCUUGCUGUCGGAAGAGACAAAUGGUAGAAUGACAGGCCACGUUUGGCCCGUUGGAAAUGCCCUCCAUCCUCUGGGAAGAUUCACAGGCCGUUUACGGAAGGCCUGUGUAUAUAAUAUGAAAAAGCUGCUCUCAACUCCACCCCAACCUUUUAAUAGAAAACAUUUGUCACAUCUAGCCCUUCUAGAUGGAAAGAGGUUGCCGACGUAUGAUAGAGUUAGAAAGUCACACAUCUUGUAAAUUCUCAUUUGUUUAAAAGAAAUCAUAGAAAAUACAUGUCUUCCGGAGUUGACUUUUGGAAACUGAGUUGUUAGACGGCCUCUAGAAGCGAUACGUUCACGUUUGUUCAGUGGGUUAGAUGACAUGGAGCUCGAAGACCUGAGAAGGAAAAAAAGAAGGUUCUAUGCUAGACUGGUCAUAUUUAGAAGACAUUUUCAUAUUCUAUCCAUUGUUUUGUGUGCAUUCGCUUCCUCACUACUAUGUAUGUAGUUGACAAUGCUAAGCUUUUUUGAAAUGUCUAUUCUUUUUAGAUAUUCUGAAGUGUCUGAUAUAUGUUAAAAUUAGAGGUAGUAAAACCACAUUUUGUAAAUAUCUUUUUGUUACAAUUCAUAGAAAUGUUGUUUUUUGGGGGGAAUGGCCAAAUCACCUGUUGAGUAAUACUCAUUGUGUUUGUGCAGUAGUUCAGGGGAGGAGAGAGGAGGGGGAGGUGCAGAGAGCUCUAUGCCAUCCUGCUUACAGCGAGGCAAGAUGAAUCACUAUGUCUGUGCAUUUUGUUUUAUCUAUGUAUAUAAUGUACAUAAAGGACAAACGAGUCCUAAUUUACAACAUCUAGUCUUUCUGGAUGUUAAAGAGGUUGCCAGUGUAUAACAAAACUAGAGUUAGUAAACUAAUAUAUUUUGUACAUUUUGUUUUACAAGUCCUAGGAAAGACUGUCUUCUGAAAAUUUGAGCAUUCUUGCCCACUGGGUUGAUGGAGAUGGGAAGGGUUCUAGGCCAGAAUGUUCACAUUUGGAAGACUCUUUCAAAUUAUAACUGUUGUUACAUGUUUGCAGUUUAUUCGAGACUGCUGUGUACAUACAUAGUGGACAAAUUAACUCCUUACUUGAAACAUUUAGACUAUCUAGAUGUUUAGAAGUGCCCGAUGUAUAUUAAAUGUAGAGGUAGUAAAAUACCAAUUUGUAAAUAUCUUUUUGCUAAAAUUCAUAGGAAAUACUUUUGGAAGUUGAAUUGUGAAGCCACCUUUGUGAGCAGUAUAUUACUGUCUAUACUUGCUCAAUGGUUUAGAGGAGGUGGGAGGGAAGAAAUUGCAAAAGAUAAUAUGCUAGUGUGUUCAUACUUGGACAUUUUCAGACACCAUUUUUCUGUAUGUUUUGUGCAUUUUGUUUUGCUCUGUAUAUAGUGUAUAUAAUGGACAAAUAGUCUUAAUUUUUUAACAUCUAGAGGUUGCCAGUGUAUGACAAAGUAGUAAAAUUAGCAUAUUUUGUAUGCUUUGUGUUGAAAUUCAUAGGAAAACUUGUCUUCUGUAAUUGACUUUUGCAUAGGAAUUUGUUCAGCCAUCUCUAAGCAUUACACAUGCGUGUACUUGUCCACUGAAUUGAAGGCAGAGAAGGAAGAGAAGAGGGAAUGAUUCAAGGCCAAAAUGGUCACAUUUAGAAGAUACCUUAGAUGAUAACCAUUGUUAUGUGUGUGCAGUUUUAUUUAACAGUGCCGUGUACAUGGUGGACAGGCUAUGAAAUAUCUAGUCUUUAGAUAUUUGGAAGUGCUUGAUGUAUUUUAAAGUAGUAGUAGUAGAAUAACACUUUUUGUAAAUAGCUUUUAAAAACUGAUGGGAAAUGCUGUUUGGAAGUGGAUUUGUUGAACCACCUGGGAGGUGGGAGGGAAAAAAUUGCAAAAGGUGUUUUGCCAUUGUUUAUUAGAAAAUUUCAGCUUAAUCCAUUGCCUAUAUGUUACAAGCAUUUCAUUUAACUUUGCUAUACUGUAUAUAUUGUGUAUAUACUGGACAAAUGAGUCCUGAUUUUAUAAUAUCUAGUCUGUAGCUAUUAAAGAGGUUGCCAGUGUAUGACAAAAGUAGUUAGUAAACUAACGCAUUUUGUACACUUUGUUAAAAUUCAUAGAGAGGCUGUCUUCUGAAAAGGACUUUUUGGAAGUGAAAUGAUAACAUCAGCUCGAAGUGACACAUGUGCUUAUAUCCACCAGGUUGGUGGUGGAGAGGAGUUGGAAGGAAUGAAGGGUUCUAGACCAGAAUGUUCCUAUUUAGAAGACACUUUCAGAUAUAACCAUUGUUACAUGUGUGUAGUUUAUUCAACAGUGCUAUGUAUAUAGUGGACACACUUAAGUCCUUAUUUGAAAUAUCUAGUCUUUCUAGAUGUUUAGAAGUGCACAAAGCAUGUUAAAAGUAGAGGUAGUAAGUAACACAUUUUGUAGUUAUUUUGAUAUGAAAUAUUGUCUUGGAAAUUGAUCAAUUCUCUGAGAAGUACACGUUAUGAUAUUUGUGCUGGUUCAGGGGGAAGAAGGAGCACAAAGUUCAAAGGGCUUUCUACCAGUGUCCAGUGUGUUUAUGAUGAGGCACAUUGACCAUUGUCCCUUAUGUCUGCAUUUUCGUUUACUGUGCUGUGUAUAUAAGCAGACAUAGGAGUCCUAAUUUAUAUCUAGUCGAUGUUAAAGAGGUUGCCAGUGUAUGGCAAAAGUAGAGUUAGUAAACUAAUACAUUGAGUACACUUUGUGUUAAAAUUCAUAAGGAACACUUCUUAAAAACAGAAGUAAAAUUGUUAAACGCCCCCCGCCCCCAAGCAUUACAGAUGGCUUAUAGCUGUCAACGGGGUUGGUAGAGGUCAGAAAGGGAAGUGUUCUAGGCCAGAAUGUUCCUAUUUAGAAGACACUCAAAUUAUAGUCUAUGUUAUGUAUAUAUGCCAUUUAUUCAAUACUACUGUGUAUAUAAUGGAAAACUUAAGUGCAGUUUGAAACAUCUAGUCUUUCUAGGUGUUUAAAAGUGCACAAUGGUCAGGUGCGGUGGCUCACUCCUGUAAUCCUGGCACUUUGGGAGGCUGAGGUGGGCAGAUCACGAAGUCAAGGGAUCGAGACUAUCUUGGCCAACAUGGUGAAACCCCAUCUCUACAAAAAAUACAAAAAUUAGCUGGUCGUGGUGGCACAUGCCUGUAGUCCCAGCUACUCGGGAGGCUGAGGCAGGAGAAUCGCUUGAGCCCGGGAGACAGAGGUUGCAGUAAGCCGAGACCACACCACUGCACUCCAGCAUGGCGACAGAGCAAGACUCCAUCUCAAAAAAAAAAAAAAAAAAAAAUUCCACAACAUAGGUUAAAAGUAGAGGGCUAAAGUAACACCCCUCUAAGCAUUUGUUUUCAGUACUUCCUAGGAGUGGUUGCAUUUGGGAAUGGAAUUGUUAAAACUUGAUGCUUAGGAGCGUAUGCUGACUAUUCACUGCGUGGUGGGGUGGGGAGGAGGAGGAGGUAUGCAGGGAGAAGGGUUCUGUGCCCCUGAGUUAGAUUAGUUCAGAUGGUCUAACCAUUGUUCUAUGUAUGCAUUUUAUUGUGUUAAUAUUGUGUAUUAAAGGAUAAACAAGUCUUAAUGCUCAAAGUAUGUUAAAAAUAGAUGUAGUGAAUCAGUCCCUUUGUGAAUGUCCUAUUGUUAGUUUUUAGGAAGGCCUGUCUUCUGGGAGUGACCUUUAUUAGUCCACUUCUUGGAGCUAGACGUCCUAUACUUAGUCACUGGGGAUGGUGAAAGAGGGAGAAGAGGAAGGGCGAAGGGAAGGGCUCUUUGCUAGUAUCUCCAUUUCUAGAAGAUGGUUUUAGAUGAUAACCACAGGUCUAUAUGAGCAUUUUUAGUAAAGUGCCUGUGUUUAUUGUGGACAGAGUUUAUUAUUUUGCAACAUCUAACCUUUAUGAAUAUCUGAGGUGACAAUGUGUGAUAAAAACUAGAGCUAGUGGGCCAGGCGCGGUGGCUCAUGCCUGUAAUCCCAACAUUUUGGGAGGCUGAGGCAGGCAGAUCACAAGGUCAAGAGAUCGAGACCAUCCUGGUCAACAUGGUGAAACCCCAUCUCUACUAAAAAUACAAAAAUUAGCUGGGCGUGGUGGCGCGUGCCUGUAGUCCCAGCUUCUCAGGAGGCUGAGGCAGGAGAAUCACUUGAACCUGGGAGGCGGAGGUUGCAGUGAGCCAAUAUUGCGCCACUGCACUCCAGCCUGGGCAACACAGCAAGACUCCAUCUCAAAAAAAAAAAAACUAGAGCUAGUGAAUUAGCCAAUUUGUAAAUACCUUUUUAUAAGUGAUAGAAAAGAUGCAUCUUGGACAUGGAAUUGUUAAACCGCCUCUGAGCAGUAUAUGUCAGGACUUGUUCAUUAGGUUGGCAGCAGAGGGGCAGAAGGAAGUAUACAGGGAGAGAUGUAUGCAGAUGUGUCCAUAUGUGUCCAUAUUUACAUUUUGAUGAUAGCCAUUGAUGUAUGCAUCUCUUUUGGCUGUACUAUAGGAAUACAUUAAGUAAUUCAAUGGAAAUAUACCUUGCUAAUAUUAUAAUGGUAUAGCUCUGUUAAUGAAUUCUCUUAGAAACAUUAUACUUAAUGUAUUCUGUUGCUGUAUGUUUCAUUUUAAUUGAGCAUUAAGGGAAUGCAGCAUUUAAAUCAGAACUCUGCCAAUGCUUUUAUCUAGAGGCGUGUUGUCAUUUUUGUCUUCUAUGAAAUUUUUGUCCCAAGAAAGGUAGGACUACAUUUUUUUUUAACAGAUUAAGUUGGUGUAGUGUAUUCUUGUUUAUCAAAAUACUAAUAAAGCUUUGGGAUUUUGAAUUGGUAAAUAUUCAUGAUGUGUCAAAAAUCAUGAUACAUACUGUACAAUCUCAGUCCCAUAAGAUGGGAUGUUGUGCCUACACACACACAGGACCUAGAAGAACAUGUCAAACUGUAAACUGCUUGUGAUUGUGAAUGACUUUGUUGUUUGCUUCUUGUGAUUUUCAGUUUCCUAUAAUGCACAUAUUAACAUAUUAACUUUUUAAAAUAAAGGUUAUUUUAAAAGCCUGUUUAAAAAAAAAAA
rnacentral:lncRNA from 10 species